GCUGAAUAUGGAGAAGUCCUCUGAGCAUGUUGCUGGUGCUGUCAUGGCUGCUUCUGGUCGCAUUUCCCAAUUUGUGCGUGAUUAUGAGUUGGAUAUUAGUCUGAGGGCCGCCCUCUGGCUUGGGAAGACGUACUUGGUUCUGGCAGCUAUGUAUGGCAGCCAGGUCUGGGCUACUGGUUUUUUUGCAACAGGAUUCAGUGUUCAAAAGUGAUCUGCAGGUCAGGCACUUGGGUUUUUUGAAGCGCAUUCUAGGGGUGAAGCGCUCCACUUCCAACUGGGCAGUUCUGCGAGUGUGUGGACAUGAGCCUCCGCAAUUCAAUUGGUUUAGAG
rnacentral:lncRNA from 1 species